rnacentral:tRNA from 1 species
UAGCACAGUGGUUAGUGCAGUCUGCCGGAAACAGAAAGACGUGGGUUCAAUUCCCGU